ACAAUGAAAUUUUUCCUCUCUCCGCUUGCAACAAGUUUUCGGCCAUGUUUUUCGUAAAUGUAUAAGCGUUGGAGUGAUCACCCAGAAAUUCUUCGCUUCGCGAAUUUAUCUCCUCCUCGGACAUUCUUUCGAUCUAUUUCAAUGCAUGCCAUUACAAUUACUAUACGCGUUAUGACAUUAUGCAAACGAAAAAAAAGGACGAGACAUUGGAGAUGGAGCCGACGAGUAAGAAAGUUUAUACGGAGGCUGUCGGUUUACGAAUAUAAAAAUCGUUGAUAGAGAAUAAUACAAACCAUAUCGGUGAAUUCUGUCGGAUCGAAUCUCGAUGGAUAAAUUCUUUCCUCGAGAUAUUCGUCGCUGUUUCUCGUACAAUUUACGUAAGCCGUUGAUACGUGAAUCAUUGAUCGAAGAUUCGUCAUUCUUUUCGCCAACUGAAGCACAUAUCGCGUACCAAGGAGAUUUAUCUUCACCGCAAAUUCUAGUUUGGCAGCGAACGAGAUGAGAGCAGCCGAAUGAAAUACGACCAGGAUCGAGACGCAGCAUUCGUUCGAGAAGAGCUCCGCCAACGAAACCAGUGACGCCGGUCAAUAAAACCGUCGCUCCAUCCAAAGAUCGUUCUAUCGAGUAUUCUUUCAUAUUCGCGCCCGUAUAAAUGAAUUACGAACGUUGAUUUGAAACAAAUUGAAUUUAUCGCACCGCGAACGUAAAAGGAUCGAAAGAACCUCGGACUUUUCCCUGAGAACUCUCAAUCUCGUCUACCUACCUCGUACUCCUGAUGACUUGGAUUCCUUCAGCUCGGAGUUGAAAAAAAUUGUUGAAAAUGCAUUAUAAAACACGGUUCGAUACAAUGAAAACAGAAAAAUGCUGACAUGUGCAAAUUCCAUAUAAACCGUUACAGGAAAUUCGAUUCAACGAAUGACUUCCUUUUCCGAUAAAACAUGAGUUUAUUGAUCGCAUAAGAAUCACCGUUCUCUCAUAAGAUUAUGAUUAUUCGUUCUUUCCGUGCAACUGAAAUGUACAAACAUUUUCAAUAAAAACAUUUUUUCUUAGCACCUUUUCACGCAAGCA